rnacentral:misc_RNA from 1 species
AGGAGAACUUUGAUCAUCAGAUGAAGCAUUGGGAAGCCUCUUAGUUACACGGAACACCAAAGUUCGUAGAAGAGUGAAAAGUGUGACGAAGAAAGCCAUAACUGCUACAAAUAUUCUAACGUGAAUUCCUUCUGGACUCUUCGGAGUUUCAGGCAGAGCAAGUGUUGCUUUGGAAACAGAAGGCCUCUGAAUGGAUGCUUGCUGUUUCCAACCAGCAUCAACAGCUUUGUCAACCAUAGGAACA